rnacentral:rRNA from 1 species
AUUGAACGCUGGCGGCAGGCCUAACACAUGCAAGUCGAGCGGGGUUUUCGGACCUAGCGGCGGACGGGUGAGUAAUGCGUAGGAAGCUACCCGAUAGAGGGGGAUACCAGUUGGAAACGACUGUUAAUACCGCAUAAUGUCUACGGACCAAAGUGUGGGACCUUCGGGCCACAUGCUAUCGGAUGCGCCUACGUGGGAUUAGCUAGUUGGUGAGGUAAUGGCUCACCAAGGCGACGAUCCCUAGCUGGUUUGAGAGGAUGAUCAACCACACUGGAACGGAGACACGGGCCAGACUCCUACGGGAGGCAGCAGUGGGGAAUAUUGGACAAUGGGCGCAAGCCUGAUCCAGCCAUGCCGCGUGUGUGAAGAAGGCCUUCGGGUUGUAAAGCACUUUCAGCGAGGAGGAAGGGGUGAGUGUUAAUAGUACUCAUCUUUGACGUUACUCGCAGAAGAAGCACCGGCUAACUCUGUGCCAGCAGCCGCCGUAAAAC